UAACCGGCGAUUUCCGAAUGGGGAAACCCAGUGUGACUCGUCACACUAUCAUUAACUGAAUCCAUAGGUUAAUGAGGCGAACCGGGGGAACUGAAACAUCUAAGUACCCCGAGGAAAAGAAAUCAACCGAGAUUCCCCCAGUAGCGGCGAGCGAACGGGGAGGAGCCCAGAGCCUGAAUCAGCAUGUGUGUUAGUGGAAGCGUCUGGAAAGGCGCGCGAUACAGGGUGACAGCCCCGUACACAAAAGCGCAUGUGCUGUGAGCUCGAUGAGUAGGGCGGGACACGUGGUAUCCUGUCUGAAUAUGGGGGGACCAUCCUCCAAGGCUAAAUACUCCUGACUGACCGAUAGUGAACCAGUACCGUGAGGGAAAGGCGAAAAGA
rnacentral:rRNA from 1 species